UACGGGGGGGGUAAGCGUUGUUCGGAAUUACUGGGCGUAAAGGGCUCGUAGGCGGCCAACUAAGUCAGACGUGAAAUCCCUCAGCUUAACUGGGGAACUGCGUCUGAUACUGGAUGGCUUGGAUUUGGGAGAGGGAUGUGGAAUUCCCGGUGUAGCGGUGAAAUGCGUAGAGAUCGGGAGGAACACCAGAGGCGAAGGCGGCGACCUGGACAGGCACUGACACUCAACUACGAAAGCGUGGGGAGCAAACAGG
rnacentral:rRNA from 1 species